UGACGGCGCUGCCCCUGGUUGUGAUAGAGGUCACUGGGGGCAGGCGCUGGCCACCGCUGACCCAAGCGCUGGGGGACCCCCUUCUCGCCCUGCACCCUCCUUCCUGUGUUCUUCCACACACCUGGCCGGGCCGGCUCAAAAGCCUAAGAUGAGGGUGCCUACAAGGGCCUGUGCUCUGCCCUUCCCUCCCUUCUUUCCCUUCCCUUCCUUGGGAGCCUGGGCGGAGAGCCACACUCACCACCCACACCGCCCACUCUGCGUGCCUGAGUUCCCCAUCACACUCAUGUCACUGCACCCUUUGGUGGCCCAGGCUGGGCGCCUUGCACCAGGGGCUGAGUCUGAGUCCCUGGUGGGGAACAGACACCAAGGGUGCCUUCUGUGCGAAUAGAGUCCCUAGAAUCCUGAGCCUGGGAGAUACUGGGGGAAAGCUGUGGAUCAGCUGUGUGAAGCCCCAGGGAGUGGGCAGAAUGAGGUGAGGCCCCCACAGGCUGGGGCCAGCCGCUUCCCGUGUGACCACCCUGAAAGCCAGCACUCACCCGGACUGGAAGUCCUCUGGCUGGUCCAUGGAGUCUGGCCCUUAGGACUGGCACUGAGGGGCAGGUGUGGGGAUCAGAGAGGUUAUUUCUCUCUCCCUAGGUUGAUUAGAGCCGUGUUCUAGGGGAGCUGUCCAGCCCCACCCAUGCCCCAGACCCGAGUGGCCUAGCUCAGCCAGCGCCCAGAUGUCAGUCCACCAGUCACCAAGCUCCCAGACUCAGGCACUGGACGCACUCCCCCUUUAAGAGUUCUGCGUGCUGACCUUUGAUUUUCCUCUAAUCCUUGUUUCAGUUGGUGUUCUCUGAGAACCCAUAGGGUGUGGCAGUGAGGCACAGCUGUGAGCAGGUACCUGCAGAGUAGGGUGGAUGGUGUGAAGAAAGGGGCUGGCUCAGAACUAGGCCUUCAGCUUGGAGGCCUCAAGGUGUCACACGAUAGAGGCGGAGGGAGACUUGGCCCAGGAGAAGGCAACGUGACUGUGAAGCGAGAUGCUAGACUGCUGGCUUGGAAGUUGGAGGAAGACGCCAUGAGCCUAGGAGCGCCAGGAACAGAGCACUGGAGGCUGGAAAUGCGAGGUGAGGACACACCUUCUAGAGCCUCCACGGGAGUGUGGCUGAACCAACACGGGGAACUCAGCCCAGUGACACUGAUUUUGGACUUCUGAACUCUGGAGCUGGGAGAGAAUAAAUGUGUGUUGUUUUAAGCCACCAACUUUGUAGUAUCUUGUUAGAGCAGUCAUAGAAAAUGAACACAGUAUCUCUCUGAGCAUUUCUGUGAAACUGUCUGCAAGAACAGGUGUUCUGGAAUAUUCACUGCCUUCUACCCAUUGUUUUUAAAUAAAAAAAUUUUUUAAUGUUUA